rnacentral:lncRNA from 1 species
ACAAGUGGAUUUCCAUUUGUUGAGUGCAAGCAGUUGACUAGCAUGUCUCUGCACCUUCCUGAACAGCUACUACAUCUCUGGGAAUGCUUUGUGGGCCUGCCAGCUUCAGGAAAAUUCAGCAGCUGGAAGGGAAAAAUAUGAGACAUAUCUCACCCCUGAUAUUUAAACCCCUGGAGCCAGAGAAACUGUGGGCUGCAAUUCCCAGUCAUUUCUGUCCUUCAGCCAUCCAAUUCCAACACUGGGCACAGCACACAACACUGGCAAGACUCUGGUCUAGAAACCCAUCAGACUCAAACCUGCUAGAGGUGGUUGAAAUCUGCCUAGUUCUGUGAUGAAUUGGUUUUGAUUUGCCUGGAACACCUGAAGAAGGAAGGUUAGAAGGUGAAGAGGAUUCUGGGUGAAGGUGAUACCUCAGCAACUGGAGCCAGAUCAUGCACACAACUCUUUCAUCCAAACCCCAAAAUUCAGUUAUAUUUGCCUGUGGCUUUUGUGAAUAUGCAAUUUCCAUUAACAGUAUCUGCAUCACUCUAUUACUUUUGUGGAUAAGGCCUAAAAAGCACCAAAAAGAAACCACUGUUCUAUCUUUACUGGGUAUAAAGAUAGAACAUAUAUUGGCAGCUUUCCUUUCUUUCAAAUUCUCCAGUCACUUGUGCUAUUCCUAUUCUUAAAUUCUAGCCAUCAACAAAUAAAUUUGAGAAAGAAAUUGCA